rnacentral:ncRNA from 1 species
ACUUGAUAAAGGUAAACCAUUCGUAAGGAUGGGACACAAAGCUAUAGGGUCCUCGCACAAUUAGAAUUACGCGAGGAUUGCCAGUUGCCAAG